UACGUAGGGAGCAAGCGUUGUUCGGAUUUACUGGGCGUAAAGGGCGCGUAGGCGGCAAUUCAAGUCAUCUGUGAAAUCUCCGGGCUUAACUCGGAACGGUCAGAUGAUACUGUUUUGCUAGAGUGCAGAAGGGGCAAUCGGAAUUCUUGGUGUAGCGGUGAAAUGCGUAGAUAUCAAGAGGAACACCUGAGGUGAAGACGGGUUGCUGGGCUGACACUGACGCUGAGGCGCGAAAGCCAGGGGAGCAAACGGG
rnacentral:rRNA from 1 species